rnacentral:rRNA from 1 species
AUGGCGCGGCCUGACUGCCCAGACAAGUGUGGUAACGUCAGCAUCCCGUACCCGUUCGGCACCGGGAAUGGCUGCUUCCAAGAACCCUUUAGUGUCACAUGCAAUGCCAGUGGGCCAUAUCUAGCUUCAACCAGAGUUAGGAUACUGGACAUCAAUCUUAGCAUGGGUGAGAUUCGUGUUCUGAACCCACGUAUAGCAUGGGAAUGCAACUACACCGACGGCACCAAUAGCAGCGGUUUGGAUGGGUUAAGACUUGAUCCUUUUCAUAAGCUUUCCUACACCAAGAACAAGUUGAUAUCGAUCGGUUGUGCUACACUUGGAUUUAUCGGAGGAAUCACCAAGGGCGAGAACCAGCUUUUGUUCCCCAUUGUUAACUCAUGCUUUUCAUUCUGGACUGGUUCAAGUUCAAUCAUUCAUAUAUCAUCUCUACAAAUUUCGCAACUAAAUAUACAGAUGGGGUCCCUUUGGUACUAGAUUGGGUUGUUGGUAAUAAAAGUUGUUCGGAAGCCACCAAGAUGGGGUCAUAGUAUGCCUGUCAAGCCAAGAACAGCCAAUGCAUUAAUGUGUCCAAUGGCCCUGGUUACCGCUGCAACUGCUCUCAAGGUUAUGAGGGCAAUCCCUACCUACAAGGAGGGUGCCAAGAUAUCAAUGAGUGCGAACCUCCAAACCAGUCCUUCUAUCCUUGCAAAGGUAAUUGCAGAAAUACCGGAUGGAAACUACAUCUGUCUAUGCCCAUCAGGAUUCAGGAGCGAUGAUCCCAAGAGCAUACCCUGCGUUCCAGCUGAUCCAAAGAAAGCGCUGAAGGUGGUUUUAGGCAUAUCCUUCAGUGUUGUCUUCCUCAUGGUUUGUAUCCUUGCUCUACGGGCUGAAUAUCAGAAAAGGAAGCUUGCCGAAGAGAAGGACAAAUUCUUUGAUCAGAAUGGUGGUCAGAUAUUAUAUCGCCAAAUUAUGUCAAAAGAAGUCGACACGUUGAAGAUAUUCACACAAGAAGAUCUGAAGAAAGCUACAAACGAUUUUGACAAGAGCAAAGAACUGGGCAGGGGUGGUCAUGGCACUGUCUACAAGGGCGUUCUGAAGGAUAACAGGGUAGUCGCCGUGAAACGCUCAAAGAUAAUGAACGUGGCCGAAACUGGUGAAUUCGUGCAGGAGAUUAUUAUACUUUCACAGACCAACCACCGGAAUGUGGUCAGGCUUCUGGGCUGCUGCUUAGAGGUGGAAGUCCCCAUACUGGUCUAUGAAUUCAUCCCAAAUGGCACUCUAUUUGAGUUCAUCCAUCAUAGCUACGGGAGUCCACCUCCCUCGCUGGACACCCGUCUUAGGAUUGCUCAAGAAUCUGCCGAAGCACUGGCGUAUCUGCAUUUGUCCAUGAAUCACCCUAUAGUGCAUGGGGAUGUCAAGUCUAUGAACAUUCUCUUGGACGACAACUACAUGGCGAAGGUGACUGACUUUGGGGCGUCUAGGAUGCUCCCCAAGGACGCGGCCCAGUUCAUGACGAUCCUGCAAGAGCGACAACUCACGGAGAAGAGUGAUGUCUACAGUUUCGGGGUCGUGCUGCUGGAGCUGAUCACAGGGAAGACAGAGAUCUAUAACGACGGGCCCAAUGAAGGCAAGAGCCUCGUGCGGUCCUUCCUUCUCGCGAUGAAGGAGGACAGCCUUGAGGACAUACUGGACCCGAGCAUCGUGCGCGCAGGGACGACGACGCUGCUGGGAGAAGUGGCCGAGCUGGGGAGGAUGUGCUUGGGUCCCAUGGGUGAAGAGAGGCCUUCAAUGACCCAGGUGGCCGACAGGCUGAAGGCUCUGCGAAGCACCUGGAGGGAAGAGCGGGUGCUGGACCGUGCCAUGACGGAAAAUAUGGUCGUGCCCAUGCCACCUGCGGCAGCUCCGAUGCCUUUGGAUCUCGCGUCAUCGUCGUCGGGAGCCCCCUCGACGGUGCCGGACAUGUCCGGAAUGAGCAUGGAGGCACCCAGAUGA